GGAGUAUGCCUGUGUGUGGAUGGUUUAUGUUUUUUCUUUAUCUGUUUAGAGCUUGGUGGUCAUAGACGUUUAUUUCUCUGUUUCAUGUGUCAUUUUCUUUGCUUUUUUUUUUGGUGUUGCCAUGUAUAGGACUAUUGAGCUAAUCGCCUCUGUACUUCAGUGUGUUGGUACUCCCGCCUUUUAGCUUAAUGGGGAGUUUUGAUGAAGUUAGCUUCUAUUUAAAAGGGAUCAUUGUCUUACUUUUUUAUGCUUUUUCAUAUUCUUCUCACAUGCCUUGGUUAUUGAUGAAUCUACAUAAAUGAAAAAAUGGGAGAUUGCUAGUGUGUUUUGAC
rnacentral:lncRNA from 1 species